AUAUGGUCCCUAAUUUUGUGAAUUUUGGAUACAAUUUCCUCCAUAAAAGUUAAACAGACUUUUAGGUCUUGCUUCGUAAAUGUAUUAGUUCCCUACUUCUGAUAUAUCACAUUCGUGGCUUAAAACAACACCGAUUUAUUUUUGUACAGUUCCGGAGGUCAGAAGUCCACAGUGGCUUUCACUGGGUUAAAAUCACGGUCUCUGUAGGGCUGUGUUCCUCUGGAGGUUUUAUGGGUAAAUCCACUUAAUUGCCUUUUCCACCUUUUAGAAGCUACCUGUAUUCCUGGUCUCCAGACGUCUUGCUCUAUCUUUUUUUUUUUUUUUUGAGACGCAAGCUCCGCCUCCCAGGUUCACGCCAUUCUCCUGCUUCAGCCUCCCGAGUAGCUGGGACUACAGGCGCCUGCCACGACGCCCGGCUAAGUUUUUGUAUUUUUAGUAGAGACGGGGUUUCACCGUGUUAGCCAGGAUGGCCUGGAUCUCCUGACCUCGUGAUCCGCCCGCCUUGGCCUCCCAGAGUGCUGGAUUCCAGGCGUGAGCCACCGCGCCCGGCCCCUCUUUCUCCAUCUUUAAAGACAGCAGGGUAAUGUUUUCAAAUCUCUGCUUAUCUCACUCUAGCCCUCCCACCUCCCUCUUACAAGGGUGCUUGUGAUUACAUUGGGCGCAGCUGGAUAUCCAGGACCCUCUUCCCCCGCCCCUCAACUUAGCCACAGCUGCAAAGUCCUUCUAGCCGAGUAACAGAACACAUUCACAGGUUCUGGGGAUUAGGACUUGGCUAUCUUUGGGGGCUCAGGACUUGGCUAUCUUUGGGGGCUCAUUCUUAAACCUACCAAUUACAGUCAAUUAAUGGGUGCCUACAUUAUAAUGCUUACUCUAAACAUAUUUAUCCUUUAAAAUUUGGUUAGGAAUGAAAGUAUUUACUUUUUGUUAGACAAAUUAACCCCAGCCAGGUCAGAACUCGUAAAUUCAAAUGAGAAACUUUCCAGUGCAACAUCUCAAAUGUGUUUUUGGAGCAAGUCUAGACUAGAGCAUUGAGAAAAUACAACAGCUCUUUGGGCAAAAGAAGUUGUCAAGGUAAUUUCCUUCUAGCCCGUGGUUUUCUCCGCAGAUGGUGUAAAUAAGUUAGCACAAGAAUGGAGUGAUGGCACGUGUGGUUAGUAUUCUCCCAACCUGCUGAAAGCUGACAAGCCAUAAAAACUGUUUUCCAUCUUUAUUUCCAGUAAAGGAAUUAAGUAGCUAGCUUGCUCUGCAUUUCUGACUUUUCCAAAUGUUGUGACUUUCCGCCACCAGACAUGGAGAACAACCACGGCUGUGCCCGGUUCUUCAGGUGGCUGCCAGUCCCCCCGUGCCUGCUCCCUGUCCCUGCCUGCCUUCCCGCUGAUGAUGACUGACGUUCUGGGACGGAGGAGCAGGUUAGGCCUAGGUACAGUUGUGUGCUGGUAAAUUUGUAACAAAAGGCUCUCCAGGGGAAGAAAAGCCCUGAUUUUCAGUGUUUGCCAAUUUCCACGGUAUUAAAAGUACUCACACCAAGGCCGGUUUUAAGCAGUGCUCCUGAAGUCCCUGAAGACAGAGUUGAAAAGCAUCGUGCACAGUUGACUCUUCUAAGCUAGUCCGAGCUGGCUCCAACACACUACUGCCUAUGGCUGGACACAGAUCAGCAUUCUCAUGUUAUGAAUGAUUUAGCUUCGGAUUACUCUUCUGCAAAUGGAGGGAGGAGGCAAACCUCAAAUUAAAGGCAGGGUUGGAAUAUAAAAGUCUCAGCUCCUCAAGAGUCCAGAAAAACCUCCUCCCAAGAGUGCUGUGGCCUCUUGGCGCCUCUCCAGGCCCAGCCUGCCUGCAGGACUUGCUUGCUCCAUCUUGCCGGUUCUCAACGGAGAACUCUUUGUUUUGGACCCUGUUCUUGUAUUCUGCUCAGUGGACUUGAAAAUUGGAAGUUUCCUUGCUUCCUGGUCCUUCCUGUGCCUGGGAAACAGACUUGGAAUUCUUCUUUUCUUCUCUUCAUUCAGCAAAAAGACAACCCCACCAGUUACCAUUCCUUGUAUUAGUUCUUGGAACCCAGCCUGGGCCAACAGUUAGGCCCCCUGAGAAAAGAAGCCUAACUUCAUUUGCCUAGUCCUUCCCUCAAUAGAUUAAGAAAUGAAGAGAAAAAAACCUUCUUAACAUAUACUACAUAAUACUAAUAUUUACUUUAAAAAAAAAAUAAAGGCUUAACCCCUGCAUUUUCAUCACUUGAGAAAAUUGAUAUAAGCUAAUAUUUUCAAUAAUUUAAAGAAAAUAAACCAUUUCUUUCCUGCUCCCCUCCCCUUCUGAAUAUUCGGCAUAAAUAGUUGCUUGGGUAGAAUAAAUUCUCACUAUUCAUUGGUUUGAAUGCUUGUGUAUAUCCCAAGGGUAUACACAAUGACCUCUACACACAUGACCUCUGUUUUACAUAGUCAACUUUUAUUUUGCUGAGGCAGAAAUAAUGCAUGCAGCAAAGACUGCCAGCUGUUUACCAAAAUCCCUUCUCCUCUUCUUCCUGAGCACACAGCUAGACUAUACUUCCCAGUCUCCAUUGCAAUUCUGUGUGGCCACAUACUAGAGCUCUUGCACUGCUGUGUUUUUGCAUCCCCUUCUACCUUCUGGCUUCCUGAGAU
rnacentral:lncRNA from 10 species